rnacentral:rRNA from 1 species
UACAGAGGUCCCAAGCGUUGUUCGGAUUCAUUGGGCGUAAAGGGUGCGUAGGCGGCGGGGUAAGUCAGGUGUGAAAUCUCGGGGCUCAACCCCGAAACUGCACUUGAUACUGCCUCGCUUGAGUACUGGAGAGGAGACUGGAAUUUACGGUGUAGCAGUGAAAUGCGUAGAUAUCGUAAGGAAGACCAGUGGCGAAGGCGAGUCUCUGGACAGUUACUGACGCUGAGGCACGAAGGCCAGGGGAGCAAACGGG